rnacentral:snRNA from 1 species
ACGCCUUCCGGUCGUUGCCGCAAAAAUUGGAACGACACAGAGAAGAUCAGCAUGGCCCCUGCGCAAGGAUGACACGCACAAAUCGAGAAUGAAUGCCUUUUUGA